CUGGCAACAGCCAUGUAAACGGCUAACUCCAGAUGAAAUGAAAUCUUAAAAAGGGGGCUGAAGCAACAUUCUUUGUCCAUCCAGAGGAAGGAAAGCCUAAUCUGACUUUAGAAUUGACUGGAGAAGAGAGAAUAUGAUUUGAGGAAAGCUUCUUGAAAAACUGAGGCAUAGAAGUUUGUAUGAGAGAUUAGUUCAAGGAGGUAUUGAUAAACAAUGAGGAAGAGAACUACAUUCCAGAUUCAAGAAAUGCCAAUGAACAAAAGAAAAGCAAAUGUAGGGAAUUCAGGAAGUUUGAUAUGACUAAAGUAAUAAGAAGAGAAAUAAGAAACAGAAGAUUGGAGCCAGGUUUAAUCAGCCCUUGUUUUACAGUGUGUACAUUGGAGGGAGGUGUAGCUAAUAUGGAACUAGGGAAUAAUUUUGGAGGGCUAGUCGGAUGAUAUGACCAGACUAGCAUUUUGGAAGGGUAGCUGGUGGCAGAUUGGAUGAUGUGCUGAGGAGUGGAUCCAUGUGUAGCCUGUAGACAAGUCUCCUGCGAUAGUUCAAUGAAAAAAAGAUGGAAAUAUGGCAGAGUAAAUGGGAACAAAAACGGGGAUAACCAUCAAAGACAAUUUGACCACACUUACUGUUGGUUGUGCAAGUGAAAACAGAAAGAAACAACUUGGAAGUUUCUAAACUAGGAGGCUGGGAAAAUAGUUUUGUAAUUAUCUUGGGGAAGAUGAUAGAGGUCUUUUGGUACAAAGAGGGAAGAGAGGGAUAAUAAGAACAUGCUGAUUUACAUGGAGAUUACAAACAAGCAUUUGCAAUUCAUUUGUAAAACUCAUAAGGAAAACAAGACUGAAAAAGUGACAUCAAUAGAAGAUACAUCUGUCGUAGAAAGAAACUGGAGCCAUGGAAAGGGAAAAGUGUGCAGAACAUGGUGAAAGAAAACCUCUGGGAAUCCCGAUGAUUCAGGAAAACAUGAACAGAGAUGUCAAUGAGCAGAGUAAGAAAUUCAUGAAAGAGGAGUGUUUUGUUUUAAGAGUAGUGUUAUUGAAUCAAGGGAGAAGUUCACGGAGAUGGAUGAUCUAUGCAUUCAAAUAUCCAGAGACGUUCAAAAUGAUGAAGAAGAAAACCCACAAAAUUGGAUCCAAUAAUGAGAACAGAGUACUAAGGAAAUCUAGAAAGCAAGCAUAAACCAAUAUUUCAAGAUAAUUGGCAGAGAAAGGAAGAGAACAUUAUAAAAAUGGUAUCUGAGGUGCACAUAUUAUCAACAUAUACAACAGCUUCUCAAAGAGAUCAGUUACAAAUGAUCCAAAAAUGCAACUCAGUGUAGAAUAAUGAAUUUUAGCAGGAAGAAGGAUCUACACAGAGACCAGAAAGCCCUGAGACCUGGAACUUCUGGAAUUGCUCUCUUCCACAUGGCUAACCAACAGCAGAGUAACGGAUACAGAAUGAAGGCAGUGAAUAUGAAUGUUGAAGAAUUUGAGUCUAGACUUCAGUGGGUCAUCCAAGUUGGUAAAAGAAAUGUAUUGUAUGUCAUGCCAAAACAAAUCUAAAAGCAUUUGCACUUCUUGUAAUCGAAAAUUUAGCAAGACAUGCAAUCCUCCCUGGACUUCUCAAAUGUCACAGAGGUUUCUAACGGACAAAGGUGAUGAUGCCCCAAAACCUUUGAAAAUCAACGAAGACACUACGAUGAAAAGCAUCAGAAAGCUGUUGUCCAGACUGUGUGUUUUGCUUGCCUAAGAGGUCCAGAAGGACACUGAAGGAAGCUUACUCAGAAUCUUCUGAGAGAUACCAACCCACUGACCAACCUGUGAUUUCUAGCAAUUGUCAAAAAGAGA